rnacentral:misc_RNA from 1 species
AUCGAAUUCCUGCAGCCCGUU